ACAACAUUCGGACCGUCGGUCCACCGAGCAAUAUCACCCGCUCGGUGGAAGAUCUUCCCUUUGUCGU
rnacentral:pre_miRNA from 1 species